CUUGAUCGAUCCCAACCACAACGGCCGAUCGGCCGACCGUCCCUGUCCGUACGUCCCCAGCAGCGCCUGGGCCUC
rnacentral:antisense_RNA from 1 species